GCCUGGCUGGCUCAGUUGGUAGAGCCUGUGCCUCUCAAUCUCAGGGACAUGAGUUCAGGCCUCAUGCUGGGCG